rnacentral:tRNA from 1 species
AGGAUUAUAGUUUAUAAAAACAUUUGAUUUGCAUUCAAAAAAUAUUGAAUAUUUAUCAAUUUAUCUUU